UGGGGAAUAUUGGACAAUGGGCGCAAGCCUGAUCCAGCCAUGCCGCGUGGAUGAUGAAGGCCUUAGGGUUGUAAAAUCCUUUCGUGGGGGACGAUAAUGACGGUACCCCAAGAAGAAGCUCCGGCUAACUUCGUGCCAGCAGCCGCGGUAAUACGAAGGGGGCUAGCGUUGUUCGGAUUUACUGGGCGUAAAGCGCGUGUAGGCGGGUCGUUAAGUUGGGGGUGAAAUCCCGAGGCUCAACCUCGGAACUGCCUUCAAAACUGGCGACCUGGACUCAAGCAGAGGCAAGUGGAAUUGCGAGUGUAGAGGUGAAAUUCGUAGAUAUUCGCAGGAACACCAGUGGCGAAGGCGACUUGCUGGGCUUGUAGUGACGCUGAGACGCGAAAGCGUGGGGAGCAAACAGGAUUAGAUACCCUAGUAGUCCCUGAGCGGGCUGGCAAGGCGCAU
rnacentral:rRNA from 1 species